GUGUCAGCAGCCGCGGUAAUACGUAGGGUGCGAGCGUUAAUCGGAAUUACUGGGCGUAAAGCGUGUGCAGGCGGUCUGUUAAGACAGGUGUGAAAUCCCCGGGCUUAACCUGGGAAUGGCGCUUGUUACUGGCAGACUAGAGUGCGUCAGAGGGGGGUGGAAUUCCACGUGUAGCAGUGAAAUGCGUAGAGAUGUGGAGGAACACCGAUGGCGAAGGCAGCCCCCUGGGAUGACACUGACGCUCAUACACGAAAGCGUGGGGAGCAAACAGGAUUAGAUACCCUGGUAGUCC
rnacentral:rRNA from 1 species